rnacentral:rRNA from 1 species
AACGAACGCUGGCGGCAUGCCUAACACAUGCAAGUCGAACGAAGUCUUCGGACUUAGUGGCGCACGGGUGCGUAACGCGUGGGAAUCUGCCCUUGGGUGCGGAAUAACUUCUCGAAAGGGAUGCUAAUACCGCAUAAUGUCGUAAGACCAAAGAUUUAUCGGCAAAGGAUGAGCCCGCGUAGGAUUAGGUAGUUGGUGGGGUAAAGGCCUACCAAGCCGACGAUCCUUAGCUGGUCUGAGAGGAUGAUCAGCCACACUGGGACUGAGACACGGACCAGACUCCUACGGGAGGCAGCAGUGAGGAAUAUUGGACAAUGGGCGCAAGCCUGAUCCAGCCAUGCCGCGUGCAGGAAGACGGUCCUAUGGAUUGUAAACUGCUUUUAUACAGGAAGAAACACUACGGACGUGUCCGAACUUGACGGUACUGUAUGAAUAAGCAUCGGCUAACUCCGUGCCAGCAGCCGCGGUAAAGU